AGCUUCCCCUUAAAUCUGGCACGUCUUUGGCGAGGGGCUCGCAACCCCGCGCGCCCAGGCACGGCAUCGCCAAAAGCGCUGCGAAAGGCACGCGCUGCUCUGAUCCUUUUGGGAUUUAAACGCCCCGGGACGUCGGGGGCCGAUGAUGCCGAAGGGAUUUGGGAAGGGUAGGGGCCGCGCCAGGAGCUCCCGCACCCCUCUACUCCUGCCCUUCCCCCGGAGCGGCAGCUUACCUGAGUGCCUGUUGGAAGUGCUGCUGCAAUGGAUUGUGGUCAAAAAAUGCCCCUCAGCUGCUACUUGGAGGGAAUGGGCAAUAAAACACAGGUGCUGAUAGCAGAAGAGCAUUUGGACAAAUUCCACCUGUUAUGUGAAGAACAUCUCCUUUUAUUUCUUCAAACCUGUGUCUUGCUAGCUCUCAUUAAUGCCCCUAAUUCUUCUGUUUGAAAAACCAGCAGCCACUUGAUUUCUAGACACCUUUCCACAGCUCCCCCUUGCCUGUAAACCAGUGCCUGCUAAGUGCUGCAUCCCCACUUGCCUGCCUUCCCUGAGUGCCCGUAGAGCUGGGUCCAAACUGCUGGAUGUUGCUGUGCUGCAAGAGGAACAGGGAAGGGCAAAAUGAGUCAGUGGGUGAGUAUCCACAGUGCAACAAUCAAGGAGGUAGUCUAUGUAAACCACGUUUUGUUCAGUAUUUUUUCAAAAAAAGCACCACAGUAGCAGAAUGGACAAUUUGUAGAUAAAACCUGUAUCAGUUCAGAGUACAGAGUAAUGUACAGAGUCAUUCCCUGAGGUGGUAGGGAUUUCCUUCAUCUCACCAUGGAUUAUCAUGUAAUAGCCAAAUAUGUACAAUUGUAAACUAUAUGAUAUUUUAUCAAAUGUCAGACAAGCACCUUAAAGCUUUGCUCUUAAUGAAAGAUAAUCAAAGUUCAAAAUUAUCAGGUGAUCUGAAACGAUUUAGAAAUCAGAUGUUGUGGACUGAUCUCUCAGAGAGUAGUUGGACAAAGAAACAAAACCUGCAACUACUAGACACUAUCAUAAGCAUUCUGUGUUAUGAUUUAAAGUGAGAUAGUUUAAGGAAGUGUCUGAGGAAGAUUAUUCCAUCCAGAUUAUAGCCAUAGAAGGAUGCCAGGACAACUGAGGAAAUUUUGUAUUCAAUGAGGUUUGUAAAAACAAAAUAAAAACCAGGAGUCUAUUUUGUGAACUUUUCAUUAACAAGUGAUUGUGAACACUGGGUAGGGGGGGGGGGGGGGGUUCUGCAGGUUUUUUUUAGCAAUGUAGGUUUUGGCCAUCCUUGAUUGUUCCAUUAACACAUUUAUUUGUUCAUUGCUCAUGGUCCUGCUAUGAUGAAAGAAUGAUCUUUUGACAUCCAGUAAUAUUUUUGCUUUGAUCCUGUAACUAAAUGAUGCUAGCCAGAAAAUUAUUUUAAUUUUGUCCUUAUUUCACAUGGUAUACUUAUUAUUCACUUUGGUUUUGGCACACACAGCAUGGAAACUUAACCCAAAUAACCAGUAAUGUCUUUGCAAUAAUAUUAAGCAAUAUUUGGCAAUUAUUUCACUGUAUGUUUUUGGAAGGUGUUUGACACUGACCUGAUUUCAAAUGGGAAAAAUUGUGAGUUUAUGAAACCAAGCAUGGAAAUAUAAACUAAACAGCCAGUCAUCUCCAGCAGGAACACAGCAAUUAUACUCUUCCAAUAAUAUUUAGUUUCAACUGGAAAUCAAUAAACAGCAGGUAAGGAGUGAAUAGGAGGCCAAAUAAUUUCUACGAAAGAGACUAAGAAGGUGGCUAGGCAGGACUUUGUUUUGACCUUUAUAUUUUGUCUUAAUUCUCAAAAUUUAUAUUUUGUCUUAACUCAUCUUAGAGUAGGUAACUGGAUUUUACAGUGUCCUUGAAGUCAUUCAGCCUGCUGUAGAAUAAUUAAAAGAAUGUUGAUUGAUGUGUGUUGCUGUAUUGGAAGCCACUGAUAUACUGAUAUGUUUGUACAAAGAGUGUUGUAGAGGGAGCUAUAUACAAACCUUGAAUUUUAUAUCACAAUGAAUUUUUAAAAUCAAUUUUUGGUCUUGCCAAAUGGAUAAAAAAAGAGAUUAUUCCAAAACAUAGGCAUCCUGUAAGUACAGGUGAGUCUAAUAGGUAGGGUAAGAAAACAAUACAUUGUUUAUGGAAAAAAUAGUUGAUACUGCCUGACUGAGGGCACAGUCUAUGAAACUAUUUAUGGAGUAAUAUAAUACCAGUCUUGACAGGACAUCUGUAAUGGCUAAUAUUAUUGACAUGUAAGAGUUAGGAAAGUUUGGGACAGAAUCAGUUAAAGUUACUUGGUAAGGAGCAAGAUGGUUAGUUCAGGGGUUUUAGUCUGGUUAGAUUGGAUUUCAAAUCUCAAAUCUUAUUUCAUUUCAGGAUUAGUUUACGUGUCUUCACCAGCCAGGUAAUAUUAUCCAUUUUUUAUAACUUAAACAUAGAACUAAAAAGAUUCAUAAUAUCAACAUCAACUAGGUGAUGAGUUUUGAGUCAUGAAUGUGGUGGUAGAUGUUAGAAUUGUUGUUAUUGUUAUUAUCCUCAUCAUCAUUGCUAUCCUCCUCAGAUUUCACAAGAUCAUUUCAGAUUUUCACAAGAUCUCCAGUCAAACUUGCUUAAUCUGGGUUUAGGUGAUAAUACUUUCUGCUAGUUCCUAGUGAUUAACUGUAGUGGGGAAAGGUAGAUAAACUACAUCUCAGUCACGUUUUUUUGUGGGUAUUUGAAGUUUUAUUUCACAUAGGAUAGUCUCAAAUCUGCCAAGACGUAAAAAUUGUUAGGUAAUUUUCUGUUUCCUGUUGAAUUCUGUGAUAACCUGAGAAGUUGCCUGGGCUGUGUUCUUUUCAUAUCACUAAAAGUUAGAAGUGGAGUGGCAGUUCCACAAAUAAAUAUGCAGCUUCAACAUAAAAGAAACUUUCUGAAAAAUCUGAAAAACCAUUUGCCAGAGAUGAAGUAUUAGAUGGUAGAAGUGCUCUUUGAAUUUGUUGUACAAGUCCAGGUCUGUUUCAGGUGCAAGAAGAGUUCAGUUUUAACAGGAUAGUUCCAACUAUGAAACCAAACGCUGUCUAUGAUUUAUUGGUUAGUUUAAGGUAACUUAUGCAGUAAGCCUUUAUGUGUGUUCAGAGAUAUUAAUUUAAAAUUAAUUACAAUUAGCUGGUUUUUUUUAAAAAAAAAAACAAACCAACAUAUUGAUUUUCUGGCUUGCAAUGUGAAGACACUACUUUUACUCUGACAUUUAACUCAACACUGAAAUUAUGGCCUCUGCUUUCUAACAGAUGAAUCCUAAAGAGGUAUUAUGAACAAGUUAAAAUCUACUGUAAUUUCUCUCCAAGCAUUCAUUGUCUGCAGGAGGCAUGGAUAAACAAUUUUCACUAAUAAUCUGAAUCACAUAAAAUAUUAGUUACAAUGAAUUCUUAAAAAUAUUCUACACAGUUUUUAUUCAUAACUACCAUUUUUUGUAAUGAAAAAGUACUUUUGAUAUAUACUUAGGGCCAAUUCAUUCUUGGCUUUUUGUUAGCUCAAAAACUUGCCUUUGAAUGUGGAGAAAAUGCAAUAGGUGGAAAUUUCCUAGAACUGCAAAUUACUUCAAAUUUGUUUUGCCCAGCAUUUACAAUAGCUAAAAUUCUUUUAGUAAUGUCUACUGGUUGUUAUUUAAAUUGCAGACACUGAAAAUCACACAGUUGUGUGGUGAAGGGACAAGGGAACACAUGCAUUGCUGGAAGACAGUAGGCUUUAUAAGGAGUUUCCUAUUUGAAUAUUUACUUAAAUACUUACCAUUUUGAAUGUUUUCAUUUACAUUUCACAGAAGCACAUUGAUUAUGUUAAAAUACAGUAAGAGGAGUGAAACCAAUCCACUUUCCCUAAUUCUGAAGAGCAGAAAUGGAUGGCUGUCUCGGUGACCUUUUGCUUUCUUCAGAGUCUCCUAGAAGAUGUUGCAGUUGUUAAAUCUGGGAAUUGCUCAUAGCAGAACUGAUAAAGGAAAUGAUUUAUGAAUCAAAGGCAUUGCUGGACAGUGUUAACAAAUGGCCUGCCACUUUUUCUGCUGGAAGCCAAUGGGCUGAUGGAUGUUGCAGGAUGGUGAUGCUGUUCUUGCUGCCAGGCUGAGGAAAGGUCUGUCUACAAAAGCCUUCUCCUGUCUACAGUCACAUGCAUGUGCUGUCAUCUCUCUUCGUCCCUGAGCUGAGAGAAGCUUCUCCAGAAAAGGGGUCCAUGUUGGCCUUUGGGCAGUUUCCAGAAAUGCCCAUUGCUGAGAUGUACACAAGCUCUGUUCAGAUUGAUUGCUUGGAAGUUGUGCCUAGCCUUACUUGCAGCAGGAAGUUUUCAAAUGUAUUUGGUAAUUCAGUUAGAGCUUGAAGCUUGGAAUUUAUUAGCUGCUGUUCUAAUUAAAAUUGCUGCAUAAAAAAACUUCUUGUGAGCAAGUGCCGUUGUCUGAUGAAUGCUGAAAUGAGGUGCCUCCUUUUUGAAAAGCCUGUCAUACAAGACCUGAAAGAAAAGCCUCUAGUCAAAAAGCAUGUAUUACAGAUAUUUGUAAUUAGGCUCAGUUAAAAAUAUUAAAUUUCUACAUUUUUAAUGUAAAGAUUUGGAAAAACCAAGAUAAAUUCCUAAAUGAGGUAGACUGAUUCCCCCAAGGGACUACCUCCAUUGUGUUAGUUCCACUGUAGUAAUUUUUAAGUGUUAUUUUUAUAUGCUACUCAAAAUAUUUUAUGCAAUCUUUUCCCCAGCGUAUUUCAAUAGAAGGAUCAGUUGUCUGGAAAGGUAGAGGUGGGCUUCUUUUUUCAGUACUUUUGAUAGGUAUUUCUCAUAACUCUAGGUUCUGGUACUGGUCCUGAAGAAUGGAAAGGAAACAUGCCAUUGUUAAAUGAGAGAUGUUAAAAACCAAAGCAAUUAGCUGUGAGCAUUAGGCAUCCAAUUCAGCUUUUUUAUAUACAUACUUUAUGUAAUCUUCAAGAACAGUAUUUCUUAGAUGCAAAACUGCUGUUAUAAUAUUUGUCUACGAUGUGUAAGCUUGACAGCCAGAAGAGCUAAAAAUGUCCCUUGUGUUGUGCGAAAACACUUGGAGAAUACUUGGAAAGACGUACACUUGCAAAACAAUUGCUUCUUUGUUUCUUGCAAACUUCAGUAACUUGAAAUUCCCCAAAUGUCAAAUAACUAAAUUAUUUAUUACUUAGAAUUCAUAGUCUCCUUGCUUUCUUAAGCCCUUUAAAUUUUAUUUUUUUUUUAAUUUUAAGAAAUGUUAAAUCUUGUGAUGAAUAUUAACUGACAGUUUGGAAGUAUUUAUACAAGAGUACCUGGAUUCUAUGGUCUAGUAGUGAUCAUCAGUACGAUGGCUCUUGUGCUCAAAGACAGAGAGAUGUCAUAGAGAAAUGAAUUUGUUCUUGCUAAAUAAUGGGAUUUUACAAGGCAAACAAGAGGCUGAAGUUUAUAGAAAAUUCUUGUAUCUGCCUACAGGUUUGAGAUUUCAUGAGAUUUAAAAAUUAUUUUUUAAUAACUAAAUAAGAAAUUCUGGAAUCACACCACAGUAAAAAAUUGUAAUUACUUUUAUGACAUUCAAAUCUCUGGUAGUAAUUCUAGUUGAAUAGACUGCUUAAAAGAAAUUAUUUUUAAGCUGAUUUCAAGGUUUAUGGAAGAGACUUAUGCUGUGGUAUUGUCUGUCCAUCUGCCAUUUUAACACUACUAUCUCUCCUUUAAGUGGUGUGAAAAAUUAGGGGCUGCAUGGAGGAAAGAGGCUCAGAUUUGUGUGCUGCUGAGGAAAGGCGGGGCAGAAAGCUAAACACUCCAUUCUUUACUAGACAGCAGUGGGCAAAGUCUAACUUUGGACUAUCCACAUUGCAUAUGCUCUCUUGCCUCUUUUAUGGGUUGAAGGGGACCAUUUUUCAUUAGUUCUAUUUAUCACAGAAGAGCUCAUUUGAAUGGCAUUGCUAUAGCUACCUGAGCUCCAAAAGACAGGAUUUUGAAAACCAAUAUCAUAUGCUUUAUUAAAUUCAAGUCUUAAGUAAGGCUAUAUAUAAUCAUUUUAAUUUCUGAGGUUUCACAAGUAAUCCUGCUUAAAUAUAUAGAGAAGAUUUAUCAUAAGUUGUUAGAGCCAUUUUUCUUGAUUAUCACUUACUGAGGCUUCAAAGUAUUCACUUCAAAGUGCUUAAAAGCCAAAUAUGGUGUUUUUUUUCUUGCCACAGCAUCCAGUAACCUAAUAAAAGACAGAUUAUACUGAUUUACUGUGAAGUACAAGGGAUAACUAAAAUAUUAGGGUUGUUUUUACAUGUUUGCCCCAUAAGUUUGUGAGUUAUUCCAGUACUACAGACAAUAUAGAUAAUUUUAUAUUACAGGUACAGAACAUUCAUGUAUUUUAAAAAAUCCUAUUUGACAUUAGUAUGACAAAGGGCAUGACAGAAAGGGACUUCAGUCUUGAAGCCACAGGGACUCAUGGUCAUCUGGCAUUUCUGCUAGGAAUCUGUCUAAAGGCAGAGUCCCUGGAGAAGCCCUGUCCUGCAUGGCUUUUGGCAGGAGACCAUGAGGAUGCUGCCCUCAGAACACAAUGCUGUCUUGCAGGCAAUGUGCAGCUGGCCACUCUGGUUGUGCCUUGUGUGCCAGCAGGCUGCCUUCGGCCACUCUAAGCCCCUUGGCAUACUUGGAUGCAUGCCUGCUGUCCCCCUUGCAGUUCUUCUGUAGGGACAGGCACUUCUCCAGACAUCCUUCAGAAGUCCGUGAAGAACUUUUCCUUGGCUUGUCAGCACGUUUUAGGUCACUGCUGAGGCUGUGGAUUUCACUCUUUGAGAAAGUUUCAGUGUCAAAUAAUUUUCCUUUAGGUGAGAGCUUAGAUCCCGUGGAGGGUUCUGAAAAGAAAAGCAGAAUAAUUUCAUUCUGGUUUAACCUGAUGGGUGCUGGGUGACUGGUGUGGCAGAAAGAGUUGGGCUGAUGCACUUUGAACUCACUGGAGCAAGUCAGCAUCAGUUUAAAAUGGCAAAGCUGUUCUUGCAGUGGCCAAACAUGGGAGCUACACUUAUAAGAAAGAACUUCAAUUAAAUCCAAUCAGGAUAGGACAGAAAGGUUAUAUAGUGACUGAAAUUAUAGGAAAUACUCUGCUAUGUAAUGUUCUGAUUUCAGUAGCGCAGCUGCACCAUUUUGCACAAUUAAAUUCUUUCUUGCUUCUUAGCAAGCAUUAGAAAUCACCCAGUUCUCUCAAUUAUGUUGAAGUCAUUGAAAUAAUUAUGGGAUCUCAACAUACCAAGAGUCAAAACAUUAAUUUAGGAAAGUUAUGGGCAACCAAAAAGAAUGUAAGAAUUGCAUCAGACUAGACUGAUAGUACAUAAGGAUAAUACUAACUGUAUAUAUAUGUAUAUAUAUAUAAUAUAUAUAAUAUUUGGAUUGCUGCUGUGGACUUAGAUCCACACUCUUCAAAAUACUUCACCAUAUAUUAUGAUUUUGAAUACAUCUAUGAGAUAUUAUUUCUGUUAUUUAUUUUAUGGACCUCUUACAUCACAAUGACCCUGGAAAAGCAAAAGGUCACCUCCAGUCACAGUAGGAAGAAUGGGUGAAUGAUGAAGACACCAUGCAGUCCAGUCUGGUUUUCCAAAGAAAAUGGUGCAUAGCUCCACUGCAUGCUUGUAGAGUGCUGCAUGGUGUAGUGGAGAGCUUCAGGAGGAAGUUCUGGGAGAUAAGAUACUUCAAUUCUGAGGGACCAGCCUUAAAUCCUCUGGGGACAGAAACUGAUUCCAUCUUUUGGAUGUCAAGGAGAGGAUACAAAAGCUGAAAACUAGAGAUAUCAGAUUGCUGAACUAAAAAAAAAAAAAUCAAUUAUUGGCAUAGCCCUGUUCAAUUCAGUCUUCUGUGAAAGCUGGCAGCAAGAAGUUCUACAAGCUGUUUUAGACUGCAGUUACGUCGAAUUUACUGUAAAUGACAGUGAACUAUUACUUAACAUUCACAGACUCUACCCAUUCAUCUCGUCAAGCUGCUUGGGCUGAUGCUGUCAGCUGCCACUGCUUUUAUGCUCACUGUAGAUACUACAAGGAUCUCUCACUCUCCAAAAACUAGUUCUGUUUUGGAUAUCUAAGAGAAAAAGGAGACACCUCCACUUGUUUUUGUUUGGUAGAAUCUGGAAGCAGAAAAAAUACAUUCUGCAUCAGAAUGUUUAUUUGCACAUCUUGUUCCCUCCUUCCUUCUCAAUUCAAUGCGCGAAUUUUUGAUAAUUUUCUGCUGUACUGCUCAUCACUGUCAAUUUUGUGAGCAGGUGAAAUAUGCUCUUCUCAGGUAUCCUCUAGACCGGAAAAAUAUCACCGGGGUUUUGACAACAUCCAGUGCAAUUUGAACUCCUAUUUAGAAGAAUAAAGCAAUAUAAACAUGCAAACAUGAAGAGGCAGGUAGUUGUCACUUGCCCAGUCCUGCAGAAAACACUACAGGUGUCUACACACACUUAUGAGAUUGUCCCCGGAAUCUUCUCCAGGCAGAAGAAUCUCAGCUCUCCUCACAUGAGAUGCUCCAGUCCCUCAGUCAUCUCCACAGCCCUUCACUGUCUUUCUUCCAGUAAGUCCAUAUCUCGCCAGUACUGGGGAAUCCAGAACUGGGCUCAGUAUUUCAGACAUGGCCUCAGCAGUAUUGGGUAGAAAUAAAAGGUAACACCCUUCAAUCUGCUGGUAAUGCUCUUCCUAAUGCAGCCCAGAAUGCUGUUGGUCACCUCUGUCACUAUGGUUUAUUGCUGGUUGACAUUCACCUUGUUUCCCACCAGGAUCCCAAGCUCUUUCUCUAUGCAGCUGUUCCUCAGAAACUCAGUGAGUACUGGUGCAUGGGGCUAUUGCUCUGCCUUAGCAGAUAUGUUGGCAGAACUUUGCAUUUCCCUUUUCAUAUUCCUCUCUGCCCAGUUCCACCAUGUGUCAAUGUUCACUUCCUCCAAUUUUGUAUCUCUGAAUUUGCUGAGGGUUUGCUUUACCCCACU